rnacentral:tRNA from 1 species
UAUAGUUUAACAAAAACACUAGGCA